rnacentral:rRNA from 1 species
CCUACGGGAGGCAGCAGUGGGGAAUAUUGCACAAUGGGGGAAACCCUGAUGCAGCGACGCCGCGUGAGUGAAGAAGUAUUUCGGUACGUAAAGCUCUAUCAGCAGGGAAGAAAAUGACGGUACCUGACUAAGAAGCCCCGGCUAACUACGUGCCAGCAGCCGCGGUAAUACGUAGGGGGCAAGCGUUAUCCGGAUUUACUGGGUGUAAAGGGAGCGUAGACGGCAGCGCAAGUCUGGAGUGGAAUCCCAUGGCUUAACCAUGGAACUGCUUUGGAAACUGUGCAGCUAGAGUGCAGGAGAGGUAAGCGGAAUUCCUAGUGUAGCGGGGAAAUGCGUAGAUAUUAGGAGGAACACCAGUGGCGAAGGCGGCUUACUGGACUGUAACUGACGUUGAGGCUCGAAAGCGUGGGGAGCAAACAGGAUUAGAUACCCUUGUAGUC